GCCCUAGCGGCCACUUUUCCCAUCUGCGGAUUGUACAUAUUCCCUCGCUACCAGCCUGUGUUAGUGUGUUUACUUGUACAGUUUGUGGUGCAACUUGUCACGCUAUAAUCAUCACGCCACUUUAUUGUGUUCCAACCAGCAUUGUAAACUGUAGUCCAUAGACCAUGUUCCGAAAACAGUUUUCCACAUAAUGACGAGCGUUGUCAACAUCUUUCUGGCGAUUAACGUCCAUGUGAAUAAUAUGCAGACAAACCAAUCAAAAAUCCUUUGUUCUUUUUGUCGAAGCAACAAGCAUAGACGUGAAACGUCGUAAAAUGUACCUAAGCUCACCGUAGUGACCAAACUCGCAUUUUGACCAGAUACGCUUUUGCGGAAUUGAUUGUUUUUUACUUGGCAAGGACAUGUUAUCGGUUGAUCGACGCUCCUUAGAAUCGAGCACACUUUUUAUCCUCAGCAAAUAGUUAACCAAUAACAUGAAAUGGACGAACAAUUGAUGGGUCCAAUCAAACAGCAAUGAAUUUACAAAAGGAUGAUUGAAUUAUAGUUGACGACGAAUGGCAAGCCCUACAAGAUCGGUUUCGGAAUUCAGCACUGAAGGAACCUGUAAAAAGCAAUGGAAUGAAAAUUCGUGAUUUUAAACAAUUUGAAAAAUUCAGUGUUUAAUUGAGAACACAAUAAAAAUUUUCAUAAAUUGGCAA
rnacentral:misc_RNA from 1 species